rnacentral:lncRNA from 1 species
AUUUUUUCCUUUUCCGAACAUAUUUUUAAAUGAAAAUGCCAUAUUAAUUAUAGUUAAGCAAAAUAACAACACACAAAAAUAUUCUAAUCACGUAAGAGUUGAAACGAGUUUACCGGAUUGACGAACAACUUCUUGAAAAUUGAAAAUCGUUGAAAUCGAACACUUGAAAACUUCAAUUCAACAACUUCACAAUGUUUCAUGAAAUUGCAACAAUAAAUUAAGCACUUGCACUAGAAAGAUUGAAAGAGAGCUUGAGAGAGAUUGAGAGAUAUUGAUGAAUUGGAGAAUUAAAAUGAAAGAAUGAGGGGAUAUUUAUAGUUGAGAAAUGGGAAAUUGUGUAAUUAUAUAAAGUUUGGGGUGAAAUUAAAGUUUGGGGGGUUAAAUGGC